rnacentral:rRNA from 1 species
AUGUUCCUAUUCAGAUUCCUGCCAACAAAGCUCAAUAGGAGGAUGAAGGCAAAUGCCCAUGAGGUCGAAGCACUCCUCAAAGGCAUAAUCACCAAGAGGGAGAGGGCAAUGAAGGACGGCCAUGCCAACAACGACGAUCUACUAGGCGUGAUGAUGGAGGCCAACAUAAAUAUAAGCCAAGAAGCUGGAAGCUCCAAGCCAACGAUGACCACCGAGGACAUAGUAGGGGAGCUGAAGCUCUUCUAUUUUGCGGGCAUGGAGACAACCGCGGUGCUGCUCACAUGGGCAAUGGUCUUGAUAAGCCUUCAUCACGAGUGGCAGGACGCCAGGGAGGAGGUUCUGCAUGUCUUGGGAAAGAACCAACCGGAUUCUGAGGGCAUAAACAAGCUGAAAGUGGUGACAAUGAUACUGCAUGAGGUUCUUAGGUUGUACCCACCGAUUCCACUACAUGGUCAGGAGGCGUAUAAAGAGACGAAGCUGGGAGGCAUCACAUAUCCAGCUGGGGUAACAUUUGCGCUGCCAAUUGUGUGCAUUCACCAGGAUCCAGAUGUGUGGGGAGAAGAUGUCGAUGAAUUUAAGCCUGAGAGGUUUGCGGAGGGUAUCGCUGGCGCAUCGAAAAACUCGCCAACGUUAUUUCCGUUCGGCUGGGGACCACAGAUUUGCGUCUGGCAGAACUUUGCAUUGCUGGAGGCCAAGAUGGGAUUGAGUGUGAUCCUACAACACUUUAUCUUUGAGCUCUCACCAUCUUACACGCAUGCGCCUUACCCAGUCUCGAGUCUACAGCUCCAACACGGUUCACAGAUUAAGCUCAUGAAACUCUAA